GUGUCAGCAGCCGCGGUAAAACCAGCACCUCAAGUGGUCAGGAUGAUUAUUGGGCCUAAAGCAUCCGUAGCCGGCUCAGUAAGUUUUCGGUUAAAUCUGUACGCUUAACGUACAGGCUGUCGGAAAUACUGCCGAGCUAGGGAGUGGGAGAGGUAGACGGUACUCGGGAGGAAGUGGUAAAAUGCUUUGAUCUUUCGAUGACCACCUGUGGCGAAGGCGGUCUACCAGAACACGUCCGACGGUGAGGGAUGAAAGCUGGGGGAGCAAACCGGAUUAGAUACCCGGGUAGUCCCAGCUGUAAACUAUGCAAACUCAGUGAUGCAUUGGCUUGUGGCCAAUGCAGUGUUGCAGGGAAGCCGUUAAGUUUGCCGCCUGGGAAGUACGUACGCAAGUAUGAAACUUAAAGGAAUUGGCGGGGGAGCACCACAAGGGGUGAAGCCUGCGGUUCAAUUGGAGUCAACGCCAGAAAUCUUACCCGGAGAGACAGCAGAAUGAAGGUCAAGCUGAAGACUUUACCAGACAAGCUGAGAGGUGGUGCAUGGCCGUCGCCAGCUCGUGCCGUGAGAUGUCCUGUUAAGUCAGGUAACGAGCGAGAUCCCUGCCUCUAGUUGCCACCAUUACUCUCAGGAGUAGUGGGGCGAAUUAGCGGGACCGCCGCAGUUAAUGCGGAGGAAGGAAGGGGCCACGGCAGGUCAGUAUGCCCCGAAACUCUGGGGCCACACGCGGGCUGCAAUGGUAAUGACAAUGGGUCCCGAAUCCGAAAGGAAGAGGUAAUCCUCAAACAUUACCACAGUUAUGACUGAGGGCUGCAACUCGCCCUCACGAAUAUGGAAUCCCUAGUAACUGCGUGUCAUUAUCGCGCGGUGAAUACGUCCCUGCUCCUUGCACACACCGCCCGUC
rnacentral:rRNA from 1 species